CGGGGACACGCGUGGGGCGGACACGCGGGGAGGGGCCCGGAGCGCGGCUCGGCUGCGGAGCUCGGAGCCCAGGAUUGAUUUACAAACAUGCUUAAUUGAACGGAGAGCGUUCGAGGGGCCGGGGCCGGGACGAGGCACUUGCGGGUGUCGCACUCGAUGAGAUUCAGGAGUGACGAGCGAUUGCACAUGCGAAACGCGGCGUGACCGGGCCAGGAGCGGCCGUCCAGACGGCAGAGCAGCGUCAAAGGCGCGCCGGGGCCAUGGCAGCUCGACGGCCCAGACCGGAUGGCACCCCGGGGGUGCCCGAGGCGUGCGCACAGCGGGGCCUUCGGGGCGAAGUUUGCACUUUAAGUGCCGCUAGAGGGGUCUGAAGCGACGCCCAAGGGCGGUGGCUGAAAACGGCCCCGGGAGCUCACAGCUUUGUUCUUUCUGUUUGCUUCUUUGGGGAGAGGGAAAUAGAAACAGAAGAACAGAAAGAUGA